GGCAGCAACCUCGCCCCCAGUCUCCUCUGCAACCCACUAUGGAUAUCCGACGAGCAUGCAGAGCUGGUGGGGAAGAAGGUGCUCUGGUCCGUGGCGCGACUCUGUACUAGUGCUCAGGCUGACUCGCAAGCAGCAGACGGCUCUGUACAAGUGCUUUUUCAGUUUGGGUCAGGCUGGAAGUGUUCAUAUAUAGAGCUACAUGGAUUGUUGUUCUUUUCCACGUUUAGCCAGAAAUCCCGAGCGAGUAUUUUGGUAAUGAGGAUUGAAAACAAGUCAAG
rnacentral:lncRNA from 1 species